ensembl:lncRNA
CACAGUUGGUUACACAGUAAGUGUUUUAACUAAUGAACCAUUGACCCAGGCCCUUUAUCGUAUUGAGUAUGUAUGAAUUUGAUGCUAUUGUGAAGCCAAGAGGAUGAUUUCUAACAUAGCUAACAGGAAGAUACAGAAAGAGAGCAAUGGCCAUCUCCCUGCAUAUUGUGACCAAAUGAAAUCUAGAGUCUAGUUGUUAUGGCUAAAAAGGAUAUGUUAGCUUUGAUUAAACAACAAGUUUUAACAUGAAACAAAUGACAGGUAACUGUAAACAGCUCAGUGCUUCUAAGUGCAUACACAGGAAUUAAAUGACAGUGCCAGAGGAACACCAAUAAUCCAGGAUUUCCUUCAAAGUCCAUACGUUUCUAAGAAUUGAAGAAAAAAAAAAGAAGCAGCAAUUUUGUCAUAUAGUUAUUUAGAAUGAGCUGUGUUGGCUGAGUCAUGUGCCUGUUAUUAUCUAUGAUGAAAUUUACAUCAUUUAAAAAACGGAAGCUUGUGUGUAUUUCACACAUAUUUAUGAUAUAACUCAGAAAUGCUGUAAAUUUCUCUAAUCAGGUUUUCUUGAAUUUUCUGCUUUUGGAGCUAUUGAGGAAGUUUCAGAAUUGUUCGUCUUUACUUCCUUAUGAACAUCUCUGUCCCCUUGUGGAUUACUUGACAUCACAUAGGUGGGCACAUUAGGGUCCUGGUUAAAUACUAGUACAUAGCAUUCAAGUGCCAUGGAAGUAGCAUUAGAGUUGUCUUGGAGAUAUGAAUGAAUGUGUUGAUCUAUGCUAAUGUCAAUCAAGUAGUCAUUCUGAACUUAGAGGGAAGAAUUUGUCCCUUGAGGUCUUUGACAAGGUCAUAAGCACUUCUGCAGUUGGUAUGUUUGUUUUGAGAUGAGCUGUUGCUUUGCAAACCAGACUGGCCUUGAACUUGUUAUUCUCCAUUCCAGCUCCUUAAGUGCUGGGAGUUACAGGUGGUGCUGUUCUACUCAGUUGAGAUUUUUUAUUUGUUUGGUUUUUCAAGACAGAGUUUCUCUAUGUAGUCUUGGCUGUCUCGGAACUUGCUUUGUAAGCAAAACAGGCUGGCCUUCAGCUCACAAAGAACUGCCUGCCUCUGCCUCCUGAGUGCUGGGACUAAUGGCAUGUGCCACCACACUUAGUUGAGAUUCUGUGCUGUUUAAUAGCUGUUUCGAUUGGCUUGUCUUGAUAAGUAUAAAGGUGUUCCAAAAAGAAGGGCAAGGAAAAGCCUGAGGAGGAAGCAUCUUGAACAGAAUCAUUGAUCACUGGGUGUGGCCACUAUGAGGUCAUGUGACUUUCUGGAAAGCCAGCUGGGACUCUUGGUUUGGGGAGUCAGCUCCUGAGUCAUAUUUCAAUCAUUAGAGGUGUAAUCAAUUAGAAGCUAAGCCUUUUCUAUCACCAACUUAAUAAUUAUUAGUUAAAAUAUAACCUGAUUUGCAUGUUCUGUUUCAUCUUCAUUACUACAGCACAAAUAGUAUUGAAGGUUUUGGCUGUUCGUAAUUUGAGAUUGUUAUAAAAGUGUAAUCCUUCUAGUAGCAGUAUGCAUGGUAUAUAUUAUUGAUAGGCCCAAUUUUGGAUGUCCUAGUUUUAGGAAUAUUGAACAACUGCAAAGUGAAUUACACAAAGAAAAUUCUGCAAAGAAAAUUAUUGAGAUUGUUUUGAUUGAAGAAGAAGAGUUGAAACAGAUUAGGGAGCUGGGGAAAGAACUCAGUGGGUACACUGUUUGCUGUACAAGCCUGGCUGCCUGACUUCAAACCCUGAGCAUGCAUAUAAAAGGUGCACUUGGACACAUGGCUGUAAUCUCAGCACUGUAGGGCAGGAACAGGCAGAUCCUGAGGGGUCCCACUGGCCCCCCAGUGUAGUUGAAAAAUACUGUAAUAGAAGCAACUUGUUUUGAUAGGGUUUAUUUGGCUCAGCUUUAGGUUCCAGUUCAUCACUGAGGGAAGUAGCAACAGCAGAAGCUUGAGGAGGCUAAUGAUAUUGCAUCCAAAUUCAGAAUAGAAAGCGAAGAAUGCAUGCAUGCUUACAUCCAGCUCCCUUUACUCACUGUUAUGUAGGCCGGACUCCCCUGUCUGGGGAAUGGUGCCAUACACAGUGGGUGGAUCUUUCCAUCUCAGUUAAUGAAAUCAAGGUGAUCUCAAAGACACACCUAUGGGCCAACCUGAUCUAGACAAUCCCUCAUUGAGAUUCUCUCCUUGGAGAAUUCCGAGAGAUUUCCUAAUUCAUUUUCUUAAAAUCCAGUUAUAUUGUUUGGAGCAUGCAUUCACUGGUAGAUAGGUGUUUUCACAAUAUUUUCAAAGUGUAACUAUAGUUAAGAGUAAACUUAGGGAUUUUGAAUUUUUUUAUAAAAAAGCUACCCUACCCACAAGAUUAUUAAAAAUAAAAUGAGCACAAAACUUUGUAUAGGGUCUAGAUUUAACACUAAGUCACAGUUUUACCAUUUUGAGCUUUCUUUUCUUCGUUUUUAAAUUUUGAUUUUUUUUUGUUUACUUUGGUGUUAUUUGUUUGUGGUACAACGAAAACAGAAGUUAUUGAAGCGAGAUCUUGUUCUUUUCCACAAUCUGGUGCAAAGUCAAUGACAUAAAAUAAUUGAAGUCGUGAUCGUCAUGACACUUAGGUGGGAACUGUUAGCUGUUUUCAUUUAUCCUGUUCUCCACAGGGAAGUUAAAAGGCUUCUCUUGUGUGUCUGAAACUGAAUACAACCUCCAAGAGCUGAGUGAGCAUAUGGACUUGUCCAGUCUCUCCAUCCUGACAUCAGAUAAGAACUCAGCAUGUGAAACAAUACAACAAAGAAAUCACCCCACUGCAAAAGUACUGGCUAGCUUCUGGUGCAGCUUGUAAAUAUUUCCAUUUACAUGCAGUUUCCAAAUGAGAGUCUUGACUUUAAGCUCUGAGCAGCUGUAUACCUGGGGCUUCAGAGACUUUGACAAGUGUGGAGAUGGUAGCUUCAGUUUAUUAUAAUUAUAAUAUGAUUUUUUUUUUUUUUUGGAAUUGAGCCCUCAGAUCAUACGACAGUAUAGUGGGCUGUCGUCUUCUUCUCCUUCUUCUUUUUAAAGAUUUUAUUUAUUUAUUUAUUUAUUUAUUUAUUUAUUUAUUUAUUUAUUUGUUUAUUAUGUAUACAGUCUUUUGCCUGCAUGCCAGCAGAGGGCACCAGAUCUCAUUCAAAGUGGUUGUGAGCUACCAUGUGGUUGCUGGGAAUUGAACUCAGGACCUCUGGAAGAGCAGUCACUGAUCUUAACCCCUGAGACAUCUCUUCAGCUCCUUCCUAAGAUUCUUAUGGCAGUAUUUCUUUAUUGUUUUAUGCUUAUAACAUCUCUAUAACUUUAUGCCCUUCUUUGCAGAUCAACUUGAUUUUUAUUGUUAUUUACUUUAAAAAAUGUUUGCAGUAUGUUAACCUGGAAUGUAAUUGCCUUCUUGUAUUGUGUUUUUUUUCUUGCAUUGUGUUUAGAUGCCUAUUUAAUUUAAUCCUAAAGUAGCUCUAUUAGGGAAUCAUUGGUAUUUUGAUAUUAUAACCAAGAAAGUAGAGAGUCACAGAUGUUAAGCAAUGUCACUCCUGUCACACAGGUUAUAAGUAGCAUUUUGGACUGGGGAAAGAAUUACUAUAAACUAGAUCCCUGGGAGUAGGCCCACUGCCUGAGAGAAAUCAACACAAAGGAGACAUUGGGAAACAUCACUUUAGAAGAUUUCUGCUUCCUUUCUUUUGUGUCUGUUAAGUAAAUGACCAAAGUAAACUAAAAGCAGAACUGAUGCUUUUCAGAGGCUGUCCUUCUCAUAUGUGUUCUGUUGGUCCUGAUGAAACCUAAAUAUGGAAACAAAAUCAGGACUACACAUUGAUGUAAAUGUUAAUGAUCCUUUCUGGAGAAGGCAGCAAUCAUUUCAAGUAGCAUUUCCCUCCACUUGAGUCCUGUCCUGAUGACUAUACCAUUCUCCCCUGGAAAGAUGACUGUCAUUUCCCUUCCAUUAGAAGUUCAUUUUAAAUUAAGAACCCCUUGAAGAUGGAAGGUUCAGAGACUGUAAGAAGUUAAUAAUUCAGAGACUAUUCUUUUACAUUUCACCAAGGAUCUAUAUUUAAAAAGAUUAACGUAUAAGCUACCUGACAUUAUUGCUCCUUUCCCAUCCUGUUCCUCAGAGCUGCCAUUAUUCAGGGAGGAGAACAUGCCCUUUCAGCAUCUGCCAAGCACUUACCGUCUCCUGAAGCGUGUCCAGUAAUAGCAGUGUGAUAUAGAGGCCCUGGAGGCCCUGGGGAUGAUGGAACCAGCAGAAGAAAUCCAGAUCUCCGAGCGACUCAGAUGAAUGUGAUACAUACAGGAAAUAACCCUUGUGUUAUGUCACUGAGACAUUUAUAUUGUAAAGACUCAUAUUCUUUAUUUCGCUUCUAAUGUUUUUUUUCUUAAGUUAGUGUUUUCUGUAAAGCCCCUAGAAUUAUAUUUUCAGCAAUCUACUCUAUAAGUACUCAGUUUCU